rnacentral:rRNA from 1 species
GUGCCAGCCGCCGCGGUAAUACGGAGGGUGCAAGCGUUAAUCGGAAUUACUGGGCGUAAAGCGCACGCAGGCGGUCUGUCAAGUCGGAUGUGAAAUCCCCCGGGCUCAACCUGGGAACUGCAUUCGAAACUGGCAGGCUGGAGUCUUGUAGAGGGGGGGUAGAAGUUCCAGGUGUAGCGGUGAAAUGCGUAGAGAUCUGGAGGAAUACCGGUGGCGAAGGCGGCCCCCUGGACAAAGACUGACGCUCAGGUGCGAAAGCGUGGGGAGCAAACAGGAUUAGAUACCCUGGUAGUCCACGCUGUAAACGAUGUCGACUUGGAGG